CAAACAGGACUGGGAGACACAAGAUUCUGCCCUGGACCUGAAAUGGGCCCCAGGCUCUUGUUCAGUGUGGCCCUUUUUCUGCUGUGGGCAGGCUGCAUGAAUGCUGGAGUCACCCAGAACCCAAGACACAAGGUUACAAGGAUAGGAAAGGAGGUGACUCUGAGAUGUCACCAGACUAACAACCAUGAUUACAUGUGCUGGUACCGACAGGACCCUGGGCUGGGGCUGAGGAUGAUCCAUUACUCAACUGAUGCUGGUAUCACUGCAAAAGGAGACGUCCCUGAUGGUUAUAGCGUCUCCAGAUCAAGUAAAGAGGACUUCCCCCUCACGCUGGAGUCUGCCAUCCCCUCGCAGACAUCUGUGUACUUCUGUGCCAGCAGUUACUCCACAGCGCUGCACGGCUACCUCCUUUCUGUGCAUAAAGGGAAUUAG